UUGUGCCUGUGACUCAUAAACAUGGUGACUGGCUUUCACACCAUUUUCUGAGAUGUGCCUCCCUCAAACCUUAUCAGGAUGUCGGUAUAUUCCCCAUUUCACG